AGAGACAGGGAUACAAACUGACCCC
rnacentral:miRNA from 1 species